UUAGGGACUGAUACACCUCUUUUAUAUCAAUCUACAGAUAGGCCUACCCCAUGUACAUAUAUUAAUUCAUGAGUUCCUUGUACUGUAUUAAAAGGUUUCAGCAUUAGAAAGGCCUAGAACCACUGGCUUAGAACAUUUAGCACAUGGACAUUCCAUUUAAAGACAGGUGUGUCCUACAUGGUAAUAUUCUACUUAUGAAUGCAUUCACGUGCAUUUCAGUGGUCAAUAUUCCCCCACAAGGUGUGCAUGCAAUUUAGAAAAGAAUUCCACAUUGAAAGGAAGAGUUAUUGGAAAGAUACAUUUUACCUCAAGAACAAUGUAAAGCCUUCUUAGAGGAUGAUGGAAAUGGCUGUAACUCGACCUGAAGAUGAUUUAUCAGUUUGUGAAAAAAAAAAAAAAAACCCAAACCAUGAUCUUUGAUGGAUUGAAUCUGUGUCUGUACAUCAGGACAGCAGGACACACAUGGAAAAUAGAUGUACUGUAUCUGCAAGGUAGAAUGACAUGAAAUGUGACCAAAGGAUCAGAUAUUGUGUUCUAGUGUGAUGACUAAUGAAACUCUAUUUAAUUCUCGGCAUUCAUUUAGCCCCCACUAGUCAUUAACCUAUGACUCUAGUCCUUGAAAAGUUUCCAGUAAUAACUCUGAGUAGCAGUGUUUUACAGCAGGUGUGUAUGUGCUGUUUGUGCCUGCUGCCUGCCGAAGUUAGAAAAAGACCUCAGAUUGUAGUCAUUUUCCUUGCCACAUUAAAUAUAUCAUCCAUGUUCUCCUUUCUGUAGGAAUGUUGACAAGUUUUCUGGUAUGAUUUUUGUUUUUAUUUUUUUAUGUGGUUUAGAAUUGUUUAUAACACAGGUACUUAUUUUUAGCUUUUAAUUUUUCAGGUAAGAGUAACUAGAAGAAUGAACGCCUCUCUCCUAAAUGCUCCUCAGGUCAGUGUCUAGUCUACAUUUCUUAAAAAUUCCUCUUAUUAUUUAAAACAUUUGAAACUUUAGUUCUCUACCUCUGGUAAUGUUACCAAAAGUGUUUGGCUUCUUUAAUUUAUCAUUGUUCCUCGCCAAUGGUCAAAAUUAAGCCUUUAGAUCUUUCACUUCAAGUGGCACAAGCACAGCCUUGUGCUGUUCUAUUUUCACUGGAUUUUAUACUAUGAGAACAUACAUUUCCAAGGAGUGAAGACCUGCAGUUCUUGUAGAGGAAAUAUUGUAGAUGAUGGUUAAAUAAUAUUUUGAUGACUUAUUUCUACAUAGGUGCCCUUUUAUAUUCCUGGGGAAGGGAGGUCUCAGGUGCUACAUAAAUUGCAUUUCAGGAAUAGUAAGGUUUCUAGAAACAUCUUUCUGAAUGUAGUUCUUCACAUGGUCACUGACAUCACGGAGAAAUAUAUGGAUGAGUAGAGUUUAUGGGGAAGUAGAAUUAGAAUAUAUUCACUGUCUUAAAUCCUAAUAGUAAAUAUUUCAACUCCAUAGAGGCACAGAUGAUGGAAGGGAUAUGUAGCUUUCUCUGACCGUAACAUUGAUGUGUUUGUGAGGACAUGCAGAUUGCAGUAUUCUGGCAUCUCUUUUUGGCAUUUUGUGUUACACAGUGAUCAUGGGUGUGUUGACAAAUGAAAUCUGUUUGUCUCUAAGAGGCUGCACAGUGCUCAGUGUGGUCAGUUCUCAAUAUAAAGAUGAUUAUUUUCUUUUACUCUUUUGUUUCAUUUUUUAGAAGUUAUGUAAGCACUACUGUGUGUACCUUUUUAUUGCAGCACAUGGAAUAUAUUACUAAAUUUUUUCUGAGGAGUAUUGCCUUGUUACUUCCUAUAAGCCAUGUAAUUUCAAUCAUGAAUGAAUGUUCCUCUUAAUUUGUUCUCUUUUUUCUUUAAUGGGAAGAAUGCUCCAUCCACCAUAUUGAUAUGUUUUCCCUCUCUUCCAAACUAUGUAUUGCAUAGGGGAAAACUCUGAGGAGUUGUGGCACUGCUUCUUUACAAUAAUGUUUUAUUUAACUGUUUAAGUAUAUAAGUGGUCGUCUGUAUGUUUUUAUGUUUAGUGAGUGACAUGCCUGUGAAUCCCUGAAUUCAGCAUCAGUCUCUUGAGACUGAAGACAGCCAUGCUAGUUAGAGCAAUGUGUGUAGAAAGCAUGAAAAGAAAGUUUAAACUAGAUGAUGUAAAUUUUCAGUUAAGUCAGUCUUACUAGCAAUAAUGUAUUUAAAAGAUUUAGUAUAAUUUUCUCAAUUUCAAAACACAAUUUGAUGAAAGAUAAUUAUUCUACUUCAUCUGAGAGCAUCAUCACAUAUACCAUUUAUUUAUACAUACAUGUCUAAUUAUUCUGUAGUAAAAGACCAUAUGGAAUUUAUGAAAUCAUAAUUAUCUGUAUUGCAUAGGUCAACUUUGAGAAAAUUAAAUAAUUUUAAUGCUAACUAAAUCUGUUUUUUCCUUAUAUCUUUUAUUGUUGCGAAUAUAGCCUCAUAAAAUACCAUUACAAAGUACUUGAAUCUGUGUGUCCUUUGGGAUGUUGAAUGUGUUCACUGAUAUUACACUCUUCUGUUUAAAGAAAAAACUGUGGUUCUUAAUUUAUCUAACAAUUCUGCAUUCACAUUCUACCUCUUUGUUCCAGAUAGAGUACAGCAUUGCACCUAGGCUGCAGGAUGUCGACUAAGCAUUUUAGAAUAGAGUCAGGUGAGACCCAGCUGAAGACAAGAGUGAUACAGUGUUCAUAGUUGAGCAAGGCUGACAGCUGUAGAAUUUAGAAGCACAGUUUUACUCCUUGUAACUUGACCAUCUGUGAUGUGACACUGGGAUUCUGUUUGAUAGAAACCCAUACUUCAUAAUGAUACAUUCUUCCAUGUGGACCUCACAUGUGUAUGUUAUAUUACCUAAAAGCUUGCUGUUUAUGACCCCAUUAUGUAAUCCUGUUCCAGAGAAAAGUAGAGUACAAUAAAGACUAUGACUCUUUUAAGUAACAUCCUUUUUAAAAAUUAAAUUUCGGUUUUCUUUUAUGUAUGUUGGUACAUUUGCCUGAUGUAUGCAUAUGUUGCUAUAUUUUACUAUGUCCUGUUGAGUUCAGAAGACAGUAUUAGUUUUUGAAGGAUUAGAAAUAAAAGUUUGCUGUAUAGUUCAUGUGUCUGCUUGGAAGCAAUUUACAAUUAUAGAAACAAACAAAUUUCCAAAUGAAGUAAUAGUGGCAUCUUCAUCUGUUGCUAAGUUCUUAGAAAACACCAGAAAAUUCACGAAGGAGAAAGACCUUAGGAAUGGCCUCAGUAUAGUAUGUCAUUCUAUGCAUUGUCUCAUAAAGCAACAAUGCUUAACUUCUGAUACAUUUCUAUAGCACUUCUAGAAGAUGUUGUUUGUCCUCAAAAAUUUCCCAUGACUCAUUUUUAUCACAAUGUGCCUCUUAUUCUUUUGGUCGUUUUUAUCCAGGAAAACACUUUUGUCCAGGAGCAUAUGAUGAACAGGUAAUUUUCCAUUACAGGGUCAGUUAACAUUCAAGGAUGUGGCUGUUGACUUCUCACAGGAGGAAUGGGAAUGUCUUGACUGUGCUCAGAGGGCAUUGUACAUGGAUGUGAUGUUGGAGAAUUACAAUAAUCUGCUUUUUGUGGGUAAGAAUACUCUUCUUGUAGAAUUCCUGACUCAUUCUUUGAAUUUACCUAUUAUUUGCUUAUAUAAACCCUCUAAAUAAAUCUAAAGACUCCCAGAAUAAAGGAAAUCCUGGUUACCAACAUAAGUUCUUCACUGUGUUUCCUUUACAAUUCUCUUCAUUCUUUGGAAGAGUAUCCAGUAUUGUAUUCUAUGUAAUCUCUCAAAACAUGGCAUCUACUUUUAAUCAAAACAUCAAAGUUCAAAAACUCCUGAAUAGUCAGAGCAAGAAAAUAUAUUGCUACAAUUGUAGUAAUUUUACUGUUGCAUUAAAGUCUUCAAUUGUUUAUGAAUUUUAAAAAUCAGGAAGGUUCUAAAUAGAGAAAGAGCUAUUGCUUGUGUGAAUUUUAUUGUUACUUAUUACUUAGUUUUUAACCUGUGGUUUUUAUGUGUAGUCCUGGUACAGCAUGUCUUUCAUAUCAUGAGUUCCAUGCCAAUGUGGAAUACAUAAUGAAUUCCUAGCUGACCUAACCUACACUUUGUUACUCUGUCACAAAACAUAAAUAAGAAAAUAGAGAAAAUUUUUUACAUGGUCAUUCAGGGAGAUUCAUUGUCAAAGUCCUUUACUUCUAAAUAACCUAUUCUUUUUACUUUCUGCCAAGCACAGUGGUAAAUAAGAAAUAGAAGGCUAUUUUUUCCUGUCUUUUGAUAUGCAUGAAUUUUGAGAUUGUUCUAAGCAGCCAUGUAAUGAUUGUGAAACAAGAAAGCCCACUUUUGAGAGUUCCAUCCUUGAGAAUCACUAAUUUAUGUUAGAAAAUUUCAGGAAACAUGGGAUAUUGUCUUACUCAUCCACUAAUCCCUGUCAUCUCUAAAUGCAUUUUUUUUUUCAGAGAAUCAAUACAUGUGUCCUGAAUUUGAGAACAUGUUGAAUCAAGAUCUACAGCAUAUUGUCCACGAACAUGCAAAUACCCAAGUGAAAUCUUAUGAAUGUCAUGAGCUUGACAAAAUCAUCCAUGAGUCCACAGGAAGUGCACCUUCUAAAACUAACCUCAGGGCUACAUCUGUUGAAUCAUCAAACCUAAGCAGACAUGAAACUGAAAACAACAGAGAACCUUGC
rnacentral:lncRNA from 1 species